ACCUGCGGAACGAUCAUUA
rnacentral:rRNA from 1 species